CUAUUGCAGUUUGCACAUUUCGGAAUUGACAGGCCACAGGAGGGGUCAUAAACCGUACACGAAAAGAUAAAAUAUUGAUAUAAGUACUUAAUUUGCAUCUUUGAACCCCCACCCCGGCUUGUUUUUUUAGGAGCCUGGGGUGUCUAAAAAUGGUCGAUUACAGACAGCCGAGUACGCAUUUUACUUUCCAGGCGUGUUAUUGUUGAUU
rnacentral:lncRNA from 1 species